CAGGCUUAACACAUGCAAGUCGAGGGGCAGCAUGGUCUUAGCUUGCUAAGGCCGAUGGCGACCGGCGCACGGGUGAGUAACACGUAUCCAACCUGCCGUCUACUCUUGGACAGCCUUCUGAAAGGAAGAUUAAUACAAGAUGGCAUCAUGAGUCCGCAUGUUCACAUGAUUAAAGGUAUUCCGGUAGACGAUGGGGAUGCGUUCCAUUAGAUAGUAGGCGGGGUAACGGCCCACCUAGUCUUCGAUGGAUAGGGGUUCUGAGAGGAAGGUCCCCCACAUUGGAACUGAGACACGGUCCAAACUCCUACGGGAGGCAGCAGUGAGGAAUAUUGGUCAAUGGGCGAGAGCCUGAACCAGCCAAGUAGCGUGAAGGAUGACUGCCCUAUGGGUUGUAAACUUCUUUUAUAAAGGAAUAAAGUCGGGUAUGCAUACCCGUUUGCAUGUACUUUAUGAAUAAGGAUCGGCUAACUCCGUGCCAGCAGCCGCGGUAAUACGGAGGAUCCGAGCGUUAUCCGGAUUUAUUGGGUUUAAAGGGAGCGUAGAUGGAUGUUUAAGUCAGUUGUGAAAGUUUGCGGCUCAACCGUAAAAUUGCAGUUGAUACUGGAUAUCUUGAGUGCAGUUGAGGCAGGCGGAAUUCGUGGUGUAGCGGUGAAAUGCUUAGAUAUCACGAAGAACUCCGAUUGCGAAGGCAGCCUGCUAAGCUGCAACUGACAUUGAGGCUCGAAAGUGUGGGUAUCAAACAGGAUUAGAUACCCUGGUAGUCCACACGGUAAACGAUGAAUACUCGCUGUUUGCGAUAUACAGCAAGCGGCCAAGCGAAAGCGUUAAGUAUUCCACCUGGGGAGUACGCCGGCAACGGUGAAACUCAAAGGAAUUGACGGGGGCCCGCACAAGCGGAGGAACAUGUGGUUUAAUUCGAUGAUACGCGAGGAACCUUACCCGGGCUUAAAUUGCAGAUGAAUUACGGUGAAAGCCGUAAGCCGCAAGGCAUCUGUGAAGGUGCUGCAUGGUUGUCGUCAGCUCGUGCCGUGAGGUGUCGGCUUAAGUGCCAUAACGAGCGCAACCCUUGUUGUCAGUUACUAACAGGUUCCGCUGAGGACUCUAACAAGACUGCCAUCGUAAGAUGUGAGGAAGGUGGGGAUGACGUCAAAUCAGCACGGCCCUUACGUCCGGGGCUACACACGUGUUACAAUGGGGGGUACAGAGGGCCGCUACCACGCGAGUGGAUGCCAAUCCCAAAAACCUCUCUCAGUUCGGACUGGAGUCUGCAACCCGACUCCACGAAGCUGGAUUCGCUAGUAAUCGCGCAUCAGCCACGGCGCGGUGAAUACGUUCCCGGGCCUUGUACACACCGCCCGUCAAGCCAUGGGAGCCGGGGGUACCUGAAGUGCGUAACCGCGAGGAGCGCCCUAGGGUAAAACUGGUGACUGGGGCUAAGUCAUAACA
rnacentral:rRNA from 1 species